rnacentral:rRNA from 1 species
GACGAACGCUGGCGGCGUGCCUAAUACAUGCAAGUAGAACGCUGAAGGAGGAGCUUGCUUCUCUGGAUGAGUUGCGAACGGGUGAGUAACGCGUAGGUAACCUGCCUGGUAGCGGGGGAUAACUAUUGGAAACGAUAGCUAAUACCGCAUAAGAGUAGAUGUUGCAUGACAUUUGCUUAAAAGUUGCAGUUGCUUCACUACCAGAUGGACCUGCGUUGUAUUAGCUAGUUGGUGGGGUAACAGCUCACCAAGGCGACGAUACAUAGCCGAACUGAGAGGGUGAUCGGCCACACUGGGAGGGGGACACGGCACAGACUCCCACGGGAGGCAGCCGUAGGGAAUCUUCGGCAAUGGACGGAAAUCUGACCGAGCAAGGCCGCGUGAGUGAAGAAGGUUGUCGGGUCGGAAAGCUCUGUUGUAAGAGAAUAAAGAGUGUGAGGGUGGAAAGUACACACUGUGACGGUAUCUGAACAGAAAGCAACGGCUAACUACGUG